CGGUCACUCUCGCGAGGCCCCACGGAGCGGAGCCGGGAGUGCUGUGGUGUGUGGAGGUCGUUGGAGUCACUUGCCUGUCAGCAGCUCCUGUGUCUGCCCGUCGGCGCCCCUCCCGCUCCAGCCAUGCUUUCCGCCCUCGCCCGGCCUGCCAGCGCUGCUUUCCGCCGCAGCUUCAGCACCUCGGCCCAGAACAAUGCUAAAGUAGCCGUGCUAGGGGCCUCUGGAGGCAUCGGGCAGCCGCUUUCACUUCUCCUAAAGAACAGCCCCUUGGUGAGCCGCCUGACCCUCUAUGAUAUCGCGCACACACCCGGAGUGGCCGCAGAUCUGAGCCACAUGGAGACCAAAGCCGUUGUGAAAGGCUACCUCGGACCUGAACAGCUGCCUGACUGCCUAAAAGGUUGUGAUGUGGUAGUUAUUCCGGCCGGAGUCCCCAGAAAACCAGGCAUGACCCGGGACGACCUGUUUAACACCAAUGCCACGAUUGUGGCCACGCUGGCCGCUGCCUGUGCCCAGCACUGCCCAGAAGCCAUGAUCUGCAUCAUUGCCAAUCCAGUUAACUCCACCAUCGCCAUCACAGCAGAAGUUUUCAAGAAGCACGGAGUGUACAACCCCAGCAAGAUCUUCGGCGUGACGACCCUGGACAUCGUCAGAGCCAACACCUUUGUUGCAGAGCUGAAGGGUUUGGAUCCAGCUCGAGUCAACGUCCCUGUCAUUGGUGGCCAUGCCGGGAAGACCAUCAUCCCCCUGAUCUCUCAGUGCACCCCCAAGGUGGACUUUCCCCAGGACCAGCUGACGGCGCUCACUGGGCGGAUCCAGGAGGCCGGCACGGAGGUGGUCAAGGCUAAAGCCAGAGCAGGCUCCGCCACCCUCUCCAUGGCGUAUGCCGGCGCCCGCUUCGUCUUCUCCCUUGUGGAUGCAAUGAAUGGAAAGGAAGGUGUUGUGGAAUGUUCCUUCGUUAAGUCACAGGAAACAGAAUGUACCUACUUCUCCACGCCACUGCUGCUUGGGAAAAAGGGCAUCGAGAAGAACCUGGGCAUUGGCCAAGUCUCCUCUUUUGAGGAGAAGAUGAUCUCGGAUGCCAUUCCUGAGCUGAAGGCCUCCAUCAAGAAGGGGGAAGAUUUCGUGAAGACCCUGAAGUGAGCCCCCGUGACGGGCGGCCAGUUUCCUUAAUCUAUAAAGGCAUCAUGUCACUGCAAAGGUGUUGCAGAUAACCUUUGUAUUUUAAUUUGCUUUGGUGAUGAUUACUGUAUUAACAUCAUCAUGCCUUCCAAAUUGUGGGUGACUCGAUGGGCACAUCAAUAAAAGCCAUCCUUGAUUAAAAAAAAAA